UACGUAGGGGGCAAGCGUUGUCCGGAUUUACUGGGCGUAAAGAGCGCGUAGGCGGACGUUUAAGUGUGGCCUGAAAGCCCCCGGCUCAACCGGGGAUCCGGGUUGCAAACUGGACGUCUUGAGGGGGAUAGGGGGAAGGUGGAAUUCCUGGUGUAGCGGUGAAAUGCGUAGAGAUCAGGAGGAACACCCGUGGCGAAGGCGGCCUCUGGCCGACCCUGACGCCUGAGGCGCGAAGGCGUGGGGGAGCGAACGGG
rnacentral:rRNA from 1 species